UACAGAGGGCCCAAGCGUUGUUCGGAUUCACUGGGCGUAAAGGGUGCGUAGGCGGUCGGGUAAGUCUGAUGUGAAAUCUCACAGCUUAACUGUGAAACUGCAUUGGAUACUAUCCGGCUAGAGGAAUGAAGGGGAGACUGGAAUACUUGGUGUAGCAGUGAAAUGCGUAGAUAUCAAGUGGAACACCAGUGGCGAAGGCGAGUCUCUGGACAUUUCCUGACGCUGAGGCACGAAAGCCAGGGGAGCAAACGGG
rnacentral:rRNA from 1 species